AUUGACGCUGGCGGCAGGCCUAACACAUGCAAGUCGAGCGGAGCGGCGGACGGGUGAGUAAUGCCUAGGAAUCUGCCUGGUAGUGGGGGAUAACAUCCGGAAACGGGCGCUAAUACCGCAUACUAUCAGAUGAGCCUAGGUCGGAUUAGCUAGUUGGUGGGGUAAAGGCCUACCAAGGCGACGAUCCGUAUCUGGUCUGAGAGGAUGAUCAGUCACACAUGUAUUGAGAGAGAGUCGAGACUAGUACGGGAGGCAGCAGGGGUGAAGAUUUGAUGAUGAUCUAAGGCAUGGUCGAGACAGGCAGCGCGUGUGAAGGAGGGAGUGUGAGUGGAAAGUAAUUUAAGUGGGGAAGCGUUACCAUCAGAAUAAGCACCGGCGAACUUCGUGCCAGCAGCCGCGGUAAUUC
rnacentral:rRNA from 1 species